UACGGAGGGUGCAAGCGUUGUCCGGAAUCACUGGGCGUAAAGGGCGCGUAGGCGGCUCAUGAAGGCUGUGGUGAAAGUCCGGGGCUCAACCUCGGAUCGGCCGUGGCGACUCGUGGGCUGGAGCACUGUAGAGGCGGGUGGAAUUCCGGGUGUAGCGGUGGAAUGCGUAGAGAUCCGGAAGAACACCAGUGGCGUAGGCGGCCCGCUGGGCAGUGGCUGACGCUGAGGCGCGACAGCGUGGGGAGCAAACAGG
rnacentral:rRNA from 1 species